rnacentral:rRNA from 1 species
AUUGAACGCUGGCGGCAGGCCUAACACAUGCAAGUCGAGCGGACGAGAGGAGCUUGCUUCUCGAUUCAGCGGCGGACGGGUGAGUAAUGCCUAGGAAUCUGCCUGGUAGUGGGGGACAACGUUUCGAAAGGAACGCUAAUACCGCAUACGUCCUACGGGAGAAAGCAGGGGACCUUCGGGCCUUGCGCUAUCAGAUGAGCCUAGGUCGGAUUAGCUAGUUGGUGAGGUAAUGGCUCACCAAGGCGACGAUCCGGAACUGGUCUGAGAGGAUGAUCAGUCACACUGGAACUGAGACACGGUCCAGACUCCUACGGGAGGCAGCAGUGGGGAAUAUUGGACAAUGGGCGAAAGCCUGAUCCAGCCAUGCCGCGUGUGUGAAGAAGGUCUUCGGAUUGUAAAGCACUUUAAGUUGGGAGGAAGGGUUGUAGAUUAAUACUCUGCAAUUUUGACGUUACCGACAGAAUAAGCACCGGCUAACUCUGUGCCAGCAGCCGCCGUAACAC